AAGUUACAGUUGCAGUUCAGUCUCAUCUUUUCGUAAGGCUUUAACUACUCUUUAAUAUGGAUCUUUCGUUACAAUCCAUGGCAAUAUUUUUGUUGGAAGUUUUGCUGGCAGCUCAACUUAUUAACUGCGCACCGCUUGGUGGACUUCCCCUAGACGGCGCACUCAAUGCUUUGAAGAUAGGUUAAUCACUUCAAAGUAAGAAAAAUGUAUUUUAUCGAUUAUAUAAGCAGAAAAUAAACUUAUUUGGCCUAAGCGUGAAUU